rnacentral:rRNA from 1 species
GGGUUGUGAGGUUAAGCGACUAAGCGUACACGGUGGAUGCCCUGGCAGUCAGAGGCGAUGAAGGACGUGCUAAUCUGCGAUAAGCGUCGGUAAGGUGAUAUGAACCGUUAUAACCGGCGAUUUCCGAAUGGGGAAACCCAGUGUGUUUCGACACACUAUCAUUAACUGAAUCCAUAGGUUAAUGAGGCGAACCGGGGGAACUGAAACAUCUAAGUACCCCGAGGAAAAGAAAUCAACCGAGAUUCCCCCAGUAGCGGCGAGCGAACGGGGAGCAGCCCAGAGCCUGAAUCAGUGUGUGUGUUAGUGGAAGCGUCUGGAAAGGCGUGCGAUACAGGGUGACAGCCCCGUACACAAAAAUGCACAUGCUGUGAGCUCGAUGAGUAGGGCGGGACACGUGGUAUCCUGUCUGAAUAUGGGGGGACCAUCCUCCAAGGCUAAAUACUCCUGACUGACCGAUAGUGAACCAGUACCGUGAGGGAAAGGCGAAAAGAACCCCGGCGAGGGGAGUGAAAAAGAACCUGAAACCGUGUACGUACAAGCAGUGGGAGCACGCUUAGGCGUGUGACUGCGUACCUUUUGUAUAAUGGGUCAGCGACUUAUAUUCUGUAGCAAGGUUAACCGAAUAGGGGAGCCGAAGGGAAACCGAGUCUUAACUGGGCGUUAAGUUGCAGGGUAUAGACCCGAAACCCGGUGAUCUAGCCAUGGGCAGGUUGAAGGUUGGGUAACACUAACUGGAGGACCGAACCGACUAAUGUUGAAAAAUUAGCGGAUGACUUGUGGCUGGGGGUGAAAGGCCAAUCAAACCGGGAGAUAGCUGGUUCUCCCCGAAAGCUAUUUAGGUAGCGCCUCGUGAAUUCAUCUCCGGGGGUAGAGCACUGUUUCGGCAAGGGGGUCAUCCCGACUUACCAACCCGAUGCAAACUGCGAAUACCGGAGAAUGUUAUCACGGGAGACACACGGCGGGUGCUAACGUCCGUCGUGAAGAGGGAAACAACCCAGACCGCCAGCUAAGGUCCCAAAGUCAUGGUUAAGUGGGAAACGAUGUGGGAAGGCCCAGACAGCCAGGAUGUUGGCUUAGAAGCAGCCAUCAUUUAAAGAAAGCGUAAUAGCUCACUGGUCGAGUCGGCCUGCGCGGAAGAUGUAACGGGGCUAAACCAUGCACCGAAGCUGCGGCAGCGACGCUGAUGCGUUGUUGGGUAGGGGAGCGUUCUGUAAGCCUGCGAAGGUGUGCUGUGAGGCAUGCUGGAGGUAUCAGAAGUGCGAAUGCUGACAUAAGUAACGAUAAAGCGGGUGAAAAGCCCGCUCGCCGGAAGACCAAGGGUUCCUGUCCAACGUUAAUCGGGGCAGGGUGAGUCGACCCCUAAGGCGAGGCCGAAAGGCGUAGUCGAUGGGAAACAGGUUAAUAUUCCUGUACUUGGUGUUACUGCGAAGGGGGGACGGAGAAGGCUAUGUUGGCCGGGCGACGGUUGUCCCGGUUUAAGCGUGUAGGCUGGUUUUCCAGGCAAAUCCGGAAAAUCAAGGCUGAGGCGUGAUGACGAGGCACUACGGUGCUGAAGCAACAAAUGCCCUGCUUCCAGGAAAAGCCUCUAAGCAUCAGGUAACAUCAAAUCGUACCCCAAACCGACACAGGUGGUCAGGUAGAGAAUACCAAGGCGCUUGAGAGAACUCGGGUGAAGGAACUAGGCAAAAUGGUGCCGUAACUUCGGGAGAAGGCACGCUGAUAUGUAGGUGAAGUCCCUCGCGGAUGGAGCUGAAAUCAGUCGAAGAUACCAGCUGGCUGCAACUGUUUAUUAAAAACACAGCACUGUGCAAACACGAAAGUGGACGUAUACGGUGUGACGCCUGCCCGGUGCCGGAAGGUUAAUUGAUGGGGUCAGCGCAAGCGAAGCUCUUGAUCGAAGCCCCGGUAAACGGCGGCCGUAACUAUAACGGUCCUAAGGUAGCGAAAUUCCUUGUCGGGUAAGUUCCGACCUGCACGAAUGGCGUAAUGAUGGCCAGGCUGUCUCCACCCGAGACUCAGUGAAAUUGAACUCGCUGUGAAGAUGCAGUGUACCCGCGGCAAGACGGAAAGACCCCGUGAACCUUUACUAUAGCUUGACACUGAACAUUGAGCCUUGAUGUGUAGGAUAGGUGGGAGGCUUUGAAGUGUGGACGCCAGUCUGCAUGGAGCCGACCUUGAAAUACCACCCUUUAAUGUUUGAUGUUCUAACGUGGACCCGUAAUCCGGGUUGCGGACAGUGUCUGGUGGGUAGUUUGACUGGGGCGGUCUCCUCCUAAAGAGUAACGGAGGAGCACGAAGGUUGGCUAAUCCUGGUCGGACAUCAGGAGGUUAGUGCAAUGGCAUAAGCCAGCUUGACUGCGAGCGUGACGGCGCGAGCAGGUGCGAAAGCAGGUCAUAGUGAUCCGGUGGUUCUGAAUGGAAGGGCCAUCGCUCAACGGAUAAAAGGUACUCCGGGGAUAACAGGCUGAUACCGCCCAAGAGUUCAUAUCGACGGCGGUGUUUGGCACCUCGAUGUCGGCUCAUCACAUCCUGGGGCUGAAGUAGGUCCCAAGGGUAUGGCUGUUCGCCAUUUAAAGUGGUACGCGAGCUGGGUUUAGAACGUCGUGAGACAGUUCGGUCCCUAUCUGCCGUGGGCGCUGGAGAACUGAGGGGGGCUGCUCCUAGUACGAGAGGACCGGAGUGGACGCAUCACUGGUGUUCGGGUUGUCAUGCCAAUGGCACUGCCCGGUAGCUAAAUGCGGAAGAGAUAAGUGCUGAAAGCAUCUAAGCACGAAACUUGCCCCGAGAUGAGUUCUCCCUGACCCUUUAAGGGUCCUGAAGGAACGUUGAAGACGACGACGUUGAUAGGCCGGGUGUGUAAGCGCAGCGAUGCGUUGAGCUAACCGGUACUAAUGAACCGUGAGGCUUAACCUUACAACGCCGAAGGUGUUU